rnacentral:rRNA from 1 species
AUUGAACGCUGGCGGCAGGCCUAACACAUGCAAGUCGAGCGGAUGAGUGGAGCUUGCUCCAUGAUUCAGCUGCGGACGGGUGAGUAAUGCCUAGGAAUCUGCCUGGUAGUGGGGGACAACGUUUCUAAAGGAACGCUAAUACCGCAUACGUCCUACGUGAGAAAGUGGGGGAUCUUCGGACCUCACGCUAUCAGAUGACCCUAGGUCGGAUUAGCUAGUUGGUGAGGUAAAGGCUCACCAAGGCGACGAUCCGUAACUGGUCUGAGAGGAUGAUCAGUCACACUGGAACUGAGACACGGUCCAGACUCCUACGGGAGGCAGCAGUGGGGAAUAUUGGACAAUGGGCGAAAGCCUGAUCCAGCCAUGCCGCGUGUGUGAAGAAGGUCUUCGGAUUGUAAAGCACUUUAAGUUGGGAGGAAGGGCAGUAAGUUAAUACCUUGCUGUUUUGACGUUACCAACAGAAUAAGCACCGGCUAACUUCGUG